UACGUAGGGGGCUAGCGUUAUCCGGAAUUACUGGGCGUAAAGGGUGCGUAGGUGGUUUCUUAAGUCAGAGGUGAAAGGCUACGGCUCAACCGUAGUAAGCCUUUGAAACUGAGGAACUUGAGUGCAGGAGAGGAGAGUAGAAUUCCUAGUGUAGCGGUGAAAUGCGUAGAUAUUAGGAGGAAUACCAGUUGCGAAGGCGGCUCUCUGGACUGUAACUGACGCUGAGACGCGAAAGCGUGGGGAGCGAACCGG
rnacentral:rRNA from 1 species